GGGUGGCAAUGAAGAGGAAAAGUCGUGCACCACUCUGAUUUAUUAAUCAGUGAUGAUAAACCUUCUUAUACCCAUUUUUAUCUGAGCCC